rnacentral:rRNA from 1 species
GAUGAACGCUGGCGGCGUGCUUAACACAUGCAAGUCGAACGGUGAAGGCGGAGCUUGCUCUGCUGGAUCAGUGGCGAACGGGUGAGUAACACGUGAGCAAUCUGCCCCUGACUCUGGGAUAAGCGCUGGAAACGGCGUCUAAUACUGGAUACGAGCUGCGAAGGCAUCUUCAGCAGCUGGAAAGAACUUCGGUCAGGGAUGAGCUCGCGGCCUAUCAGCUUGUUGGUGAGGUAACGGCUAACCAAGGCGUCGACGGGUAGCCGGCCUGAGAGGGUGACCGGCCACACUGGGACUGCGACACGGCCCAGACUCCUACGGGAGGCAGCAGUGGGGAAUAUUGCACAAUGGGCGAAAGCCUGAUGCAGCAACGCCGCGUGAGGGACGACGGCCUUCGGGUUGUAAACCUCUUUUAGCAGGGAAGAAGCGAAAGUGACGGUACCUGCAGAAAAAGCGCCGGCUAACUACGUG